rnacentral:rRNA from 1 species
UACGUAGGGCGCGAGCGUUAUCCGGAAUCAUUGGGCGUAAAGAGCGUGUAGGCGGCCCGAUAAGUCCGCUGUGAAAGUCCAGGGCUCAACCCUGGGAUGCCGGUGGAUACUGUCGGGCUCGAGUCCGGAAGAGGAGUGUGGAAUUCCUGGUGUAGCGGUGAAAUGCGCAGAUAUCAGGAGGAACACCAAUGGCGAAGGCAGCACUCUGGGACGUGACUGACGCUGAGACGCGAAAGCGUGGGGAGCAAACAGG